CUACUUUUGAUUUUGGAGGUAACUCUGCUCUAUCCCCUCAGGUGUUAGACAAAGAACUAAAAGAUCUGUCUACCAUGGUGAGUCAGGAAUUGGAGUGUGUGGAUCAGAUUAUCAUCAGCCAGCCUCAAGAAGUCCCUGCUCAGUUGUUGAAGGCUUUAGAGAAAGAUGCCAAGAAUCUUCAAAAGUCCCUCAGCUCUGUGAGUGACUCUUGGAGUUCCAGAUUAUUCCACCUCCAGAAUGUCGUGGAAGUGGAAAAGACCACAGUGUUAAAUCAGCACAUGGAGCUAGAAGGCAAACUUCAAAAUCUGAAAGCCUGGAUUGGCAGAACCAGUCUUACUCUAGAUAGCAAGAGAAGUGACAGUGAAACCAGUGUUGACAGCUUGAGUCAUUCUCUCCAACAGUAUGAGGUAAUGCUCCACCAUUCCCAGACAUGUUUUAUUUUAUGUUCUUUGAUUAUUUUCCUGCAGGGCAAACUAGUCUCUACAUAAUCAUUCUGAGAAAGUCUAAAUUUCUCUUUUUUUUUUUGUCUUUUUGAGACAGGGUCUCCCUGUAGGCCCAGCUGGCCUAGAACUCACUAUGUAGACCAGGCUGGCUUUGAACUAAUAGAAAUCCACGUGCCUCUGCCUCCUGAGUGCUGGAAUUAAAGGUAUGUGCCACCACACCCAGUGUUAAAAUUUUUUUAAUUUAUUUUCAUUUUAUGUAUAUGAGUAUUAUACCUGUAUGCAUGUAAGUACACCUGUGUCAUGCAAAGCCCACAGUGGCCAGAAGAGGGUGUCAGAUCCUCCUGGAGUUGGAGUUACUGACAGUUGUUAGCCACCAUAUAUGUGCUGGAAUUCAAACCCAGGUCCUCUGGAAGAGCACCCAGUGCCCUUAACCACUGAGCCAUCUCUCCAGUCCCCUGAAUUAAGUUCUUGUAGGGGAAGCUGUCUUCUGUUUUCUCAUUUUUCACUUGGCUACAAGGAGUCUCUUGGCAUGGCUAGUUGGGUUACUUAUCACUGUCACAAUAUUGCUUUCUUGGGGCUGGAGCCCAGCGGUUAAGAACACUGACUGUUCUUGCUAACAACUGUCUGUAACUCCAGUUCCAAGGGAGCCAACUGUGGGAAGCGGGCGCAGUCAAGCCAGCCAAGAUGGCACCCUGGCUGGCUGCCAAGCCUCGUGACCCUCACUUGUUUGCUCCAACGGGCGCAAGCGCUGUAAGCUUGAUCACGCGCAGCCUGCCUGACAUGAUACAUCACCGAGCAUGAUUCUAUUGUGUGGCCCAAUGAUUUGCUGUUCUGUCUGCAUGUUAGCCCCGUGCUCAUGUCCUGAUUGGCUCCGUGUGACGGUCUGAUUGUGGGAUGGAUCUGAUGAGGGUAUAUAUUGUGGGAUGACGAAGAAUAAGAGAGAGAGAAUUGCUUGAACCUCACUUUGGCGUCCGUGUUGUCCUUUCCUCAG
rnacentral:lncRNA from 1 species